GUGACAAUGGCAAGGAGGUCACACCUGUUCCCAUGCCGAACACAGAAGUUAAGCUCCUUAGCGCCGAUGGUAGUCGGGCUUACGUCCCGCUAGAGUAGGACGUUGCCA
rnacentral:rRNA from 1 species